GGAUUUAUUUAUUUUUUUUCAACGACUUAGGGAGGAAAGCACUUCAGAAACUUCCAGAUUCUUCCUGUGAACUACAGAUGGAUUUUUGUAUGUGGAUUUAAUCACAGGCAAUGAAUGGGAGGAGUCCUGCUGAAUGGCAACAAACACUGUCAGGGCACGUUUGUGUAAAAUCACUCUGGGUGAAGCUAUUAGAAGUUUUUGGAAGGCAGUUGUCGCACAGCUUCUCAGAAGAGAGAUCUGGGUUUAGCCUGACUGGUGUUUCCUGACCCUUGCAGCAGAUGAGCAGACAGCCUCUGGAUAUAGGAAGGAAGAGAGCUGCUGGUACUGCUGGAGGUCGUUGCCACCUGUCCAGGUCCCUUGGCACAGCUCAGCCUCAGGUUCUGUAGAACAGCUGGACUUGGCCUUGGCUCCCCUUCUCUUUGACACUGCAGUGCUUUAGGUAGGAUAGGGAAAUGAGUCUGCAAAUAGAUUUAUCCUUGUCUGUGGCUGACAGCUGUAUCCCUCAGGAGACAUGGGUCACAAUCCUGUGUCUCAAGGUAAUUGGCCAGAAGUUCCCUAGGAAUGCUCUGCUGAGGUUAAUGUGUAAGAGCAAAGGUUAAAAGCUGUGCUAUUGGCAUUCUCUUCUGUUGAAGUUUAUUUGUCUUUCAAAUUGUUCCUUUCCAUGAUUAUCACUGAAAAAGUUGGAGGUGCUUGGCUGAUGGGCUCCCCUGCAAGCACCUGAGUGUCUCAAUCUCUGAAAAUGGUGAAUUUUCUUGCUAAAUGUUUUUAAAUUGCCUUGCAAAACAAAACAUGUCUACUAAUAAGCAAUACAUGUAUUCUUUACUCCUGCAGUGGAACCAGCUGGUUAAAGAUUUAAGGAAAUGUGUUGUUGUGUGUUCUAUGUCUUAAUCCUUGUUAUUACUGUGUAAAUAACUCCAUCCAAUUAAACUCUAAUGCGCUGACUUUAUUAUGUGAUGGCAGAUUGUGCUUGUGCUCUAAAAGCCACUGUAGCUCACUGGAAAAUAGGUGUGCUCAAGGCUUGGUAAUGCUUUGUUCAAACAAAUAGUGUGAGUGAGAUUGCUUUCUUACUGUGCAUAUUAUGGGGUAGAUCUCGAAGUCCCUUUCCUGCUGCUGUGUCUGGACUUGUGAAAUCAGUGGGAGCUUUUCCCCUUCAUUUUAAUUGGAGCAGGCAGAGGUUAACAGUGAAUGCUUCUCAAAGUGGCACUGUGUAUGAUGGCAAGGGACAGUUCUAUAGGCUCUGGUUCUGGCAUUGAGAGGAUGACCCUUAUCUCAUGGAGGUAGUUCAUGAGUCCAAGUGGAUUGCCACUCAUCCAAAUCUCUGCAGUGUUUUGUAGUACCAGAUCAGAGACUUUAGUCUUUUAAGAUUAUGUCCAGCUGCUUGAAUUUGCAAAUAUUUCCCAAAUUCAUUAUACAUAGAUAUGUAUGCGUGUGUGUGUGUGUAUGUAUAUGAAGCUGGAAGAUAGCAUCUCCAAAGGGACAAUUUCAAAGCUAGAUUUUUUCCUGUUUUGUUGAUCAAUACACAGGAUUGUUCUGAAAUCAGAAAUAAAACCCCAGCAGAAGUUUUAAAAAAAAAAAAAAAUGUAUAUAUUAUUGGUGCUUUAGAAGAAGGGUUCAUCUCUGCAAAAGGCUUUGGGGGACUGUGGGAGCACUGGUGUAAAAUGCUGCCAUUUUUCAUAUGUUUUAAACUGCUGCUUCUUGAAGCAGGCUAAUCUCAUGUCAGGGUGCUGCAUCAGCAAGUAGCAUAACAAAACCACAGCAUGAGGCAAAACUGGGCUUCAGAAACCCAGAAACUAAUUUUUAGUGUAAAUUCCUGCCAUGAUUUUCUGUGAAAUCUUAUAUUCUUUCCUUAUUUUUUAACCAAGUGCUAAAUUUGAAAAUGAUCUGUAAGAAUGAAAUGAGUGUAACUUCAAUCCAGAAAAUCUGAAGUUCAUUUAUUGUAUUUUCUGUUCCUUAGUGGUUUAGGUGAAUAAAUGUUUAUCAUUUUACCUUCUGUAAUAUUUGACUUAGAGUUGUAAGGCAUUGCUUAUGCAUGACUUUGUCUUAAAUAUCAGCAGCUUAUUAAUAUGAGUUCCUAUGUACCUAAUCACUUGCAUUAUGAAUCACCCUGUUCUUUCCUAUAAGUUUCCAUGGUAGACGUGGAUGCUCAGGGACUAUUAAUGGUGCUGAGAAAUGGAGAAAAUCAGACCGUGCAGCAAUUCUUCACAUUUUGCACAGAUUCAAAUGAAAUAUUCCUUCCAGGUCAUUAGUUUGAAAGGUCUUUAAACUAGGAUAACUGUGUUAGUCAGAAGA